rnacentral:tRNA from 1 species
GCGGCUAUGGUGGAAUUGGUAGACACGCAGCCUUGAGGUGGCUGUUUCGCAAGAAGUGGAGGUUCAAAUCCUCUUAGCCGCACCA